GGGUAAUCAGAGCCAGGAUCUCUGCCGCCCACACCCCAGACCUCGCUUUCCCCGACCUCUCCUAGGCUGUGGUUUUAGCAAACAACUGGAUCCUUCUAGAGCUCGGAGGCCUGGCCCCUUCCUUCUGAGUGGUGGUAGGGUGUCCUUUGGAGAAACAGUUUGCUGCUGAUACAUACAUUGAAAAAACGCAGAAAAAAGAAAAAGAAAAACCACAGGAUCAGCCGACCUCUAAAGCCCUCCUAGCAGAACUGUGCUCAGGCUCCCAACCACGACGUUGACUCGACAGCCGGCCAGAGUCAGGAGUUGAAGGCACCAAUGCCAUUGUCCUUAAGGAGAAGAAAUGACCCUGGUGAACCAACAGCCAAAGGUACAGAAACCACCGGGAAAAGAAGCAUCCUGGGGAGGUUCAGGCAUCUGAUCCUCCCUGCAUUCGAGCAGCCAGGCUGGUUGUGCUCCAAUAAACACUGCCACCCCCAUUUUUUUCUGCUCAGUUAUUCAGAGUUCGUUUCUGUGGCUUGAAACUGAAGAACCCCAAUCAAUAUUAUACAGUCUCUCUAGAAGGAGGAGCCAGCCAGUAAUCAGAACUGUUCAACUUUGGAGAAGCUCUCUAGUCGGGUGGGACUUGAGAAAAGAGGGUAUAGCGGACUGAAUGUUUGUGACUCUUCAAAUUCCUAUGUUGAAGCCCUAACGGGAUUGGAGGUGGGGCCUUUGGAAGGGACACCCCCACGAUGAGAUUAGUGCCCUUCAAAGAAGAGGGAGAGAGCUAACCUUCUCUCUCUCCACUUUGCGAGGAUACAAUGAGAAGACAGCUGUCUGUGAAACCAGGAAGAGGGCCUUCACCGAGAACCUGCCCAUGCUGCUACCCUGAUCUUGGACGUCCAGGCUCCAGAUCUGCGAGGAAUAAAUGUCUGCUGUUUAAGCCCCCCAGCCUGUGGUGUACUGGUAUCACGGGUGGCGCUGACUAUGACACAGGGACUGGGGGUCCAUUUGGUGGGAAUGUCAUUGCAUCAGUUGGGAAAUGGGAGGGAGGGUCGAGAGCCCCUUAGGCAGCGAGCCAUGGGUUAGAUUCUCUCCCUUCUGGCUGAGGCCUUUAGGCAAGUCCCUUCCCUCUCUGAGCCUCCGUGUCUGUGAAAUGAGGCGAUGAACACAUUUAUCUCACAGGGUCUCUGUGAGGAGAACCGGGAGAUGCACUCAGCACAGUUGAGGCUUCUCCCCUCUCCAGGGUGUACACCACGUGGGGUCACACCAGAUAAAUAUCCCUUCUUCCGUGCAGCACAAUUAGCGCCUGCCUGCCAUGUGCCAGCACAGCACUGAGAGUGUUACCUGUAUCCCUUCAUUUACUCUUCAAAGUGGUAACGACUAGCCUCAGUCCACAGAUGAGGGCUCUGAGCACAGGGAGGUUAAAUCUGCUUUCCUCAAGGCCACCCAGCAGGCCAGCAGGGGGCUGGGCUCGAACCCAGGUCCUUUUCAUCGAAAGCCCCAGAUCUUAUCCAGGAUUCGCCCCGCCUCUCCUGGGGAGAGGCUCCAAUCCCUCCCCGCUGUAAGAUCCCCCGAUUGCAGACACAGGGUCUCAAACCCACAGAAGGGUCUCAAAGCCCCAAGAAGCUGUGGGUCCCAUUGGAGACAAGACACCUACAUGGAAAAGGUAAGUGAACUGAGAAGGCAAAGCCUGUGACGAGGGCCAGGACGACUCAGGGAGGGCCCCUCUGCCUGGAUUUCAGGCCAUAUCCAGUGUCUCCAGAAAAAAAGAACAAGAAACCACCACCCUAAUCCUGAGGUCCCCAGGGAAGCAGCAAGUUCCUGGGUAAAACAGGUUCCCACAGGCUUUUUCUUCCCCUGUCACUCCUCCAGGUGGCUCAGGCUCGAGUGUGGCGGGGGAGAGGAGGGAGAGGGGUCUCCUCUUAUCUUGGGGUGAGGGAGGGCUCCCCCCCCCAACACACACACACACAAGAGGAAAGGGCAGGGCAGCUCAGGCUCAGAGCUGAUGGGUUACAGGACUCACCUGGUCCCGCCCCCUGGUUCUGCAGCCCAGAGUGGGCAGUGUCUCCAGCAGGGUCCACAGAAAGAGGGUGGCCAAGUGCAGCCAGGACACAGGUCCCCCACGUUGGGGUUCUGGCAAGCACACAACCCAGCUUCUCCCAGACAGGACAUUUCUCCAAGCCCCUUCCCCUUUCCGCCAAGAUGGAACAAUGAAAAGAAAGAGAACUGGAUUAGGAGCCAGGGGCCUGAGUCUCCAGACUCACUCUGAGACUAAAACUCCCACAUAAUCUUGGGUGAGUCCCCUCCCUUCUCUGGGCCUCCAUUUCCACAUCGAUCGGACCAGGGAGUUGGGCUCCAUUUCCAAGGUUCCCCUCUAGUUCCAAUGUUCUGAGAGCCAAGGACGAUGAGUUGCAGUCACCUCCAGCCCAGCUUUCCUCCAACUCUCCAGAGGCCUCAGAGAUCCUCUGAGAUGGAAGAGGAAUUUUUUUUUAAUUGAAGUAUAGUUGAUGUACAAUAUUAUAUGUUAUACGUAUACAGUAUAGUGAUUCACAAUUUUUAAAGGUUAUACUCCAUUUAUAAUUAUUAUAAAAUAUUGGCUAUAUUCCCUGUGUUGUACCAUAUAUCCUUUGUAGCUUAUUUUAUACCUAACAGUUUGUA